rnacentral:piRNA from 1 species
UUCCCAUUGAGAUUGUGAACAAA